UAGCUAUUUGUUCUUAACUGGGGGU
rnacentral:piRNA from 1 species